GAUGAACGCUGGCGGCGUGCCUAAUACAUGCAAGUAGAGCGAACGGACGAGAAGUUUCUUCCUCUGAUGUUUGCCGCGGACGGGUGUGUAACGCAUGGAAACCCCCCCUAUAAGACUGGGAUAACUUCGAGACACUGGCGCUUAUCCCGUAUGAUUAUUUGUCCCAUAUCGUUCAAUAGUAAAAGACGGCCUUGCCGUUACUUAUAGAUGCAUCCGCGCUGCAUUAGCUUGUUGGUAAGGUAACGGCUUACCAAGGCAACGAUGCAUAGCCGACCUGAGAGGGUGAUCGGCCACACUGGAACUGAGACACGGUCCAGACUCCUACGGGAGGCAGCAGUAGGGAAUCUUCCGCAAUGGGCGAAAGCCUGACGGAGCAACGCCGCGUGAGUGAUGAAGGUCUUCGGAUCGUAAAACUCUGUUAUUAGGGAAGAACAUAUGUGUAAGUAACUGUGCACAUCUUGACGGUACCUAAUCAGAAAGCCACGGCUAACUACGUG
rnacentral:rRNA from 1 species